GCGGCCGGACCGCCGGCCUCCUCUUCAUCCUCCCGCGUCCUCCCGGGCUCGCGCCGCUGUCACUGGAGCCCGCAUCCUCCGCCUCCCGCCGCCGCCGCGACCCCGCACCGGGAAUCAAGCCGGCGCGGAAAACCGCAAGAGCUCGCCGCCUUAGGACUGCCACUCCACCCAGGCCUCCUUCUCCUGGGACCCCCCUGGGCCCCACCCCCAGGACCUCCCACCUCUGCAUGCCCUGAGUUCGCUUUUCCCAAUGCACUGGGCAGCUUGACUCCACGCCCACCUGACUGGACUGAGAAAACCGAAGAAGUUGGUGAGGGUACAGCAAUAAAUAGGAGGAGCAGAAUUUGAAACAGCAGCAUGCCGGUCCUGCGCCUGGUGAAGGAUGACUCGCCAGAAAGCAAAGGCGCAGACCUACCUCCGCGAGCUUGGCGCGUGGCCCAGGAGGCUCCGCGAGCCCUUGUACGUAAGGAUCGUGGCGCCCACGCUUGAGAGCAGAGCUCAGUGCAAACUUCCAACAGUUCUUCCAGUUUCCAGGGAAACGAGAUUUGGAGCUGCUGCGCGUUGCAGAGCUGCCUCUCUGCUCCCCACAUGGGACCCCUGUGGCUGGCUGGUCUUGGGGAGGAAGGAAUUGAAGCCACCUCAUCCUUGAAGGG
ensembl:lincRNA Gm10419 predicted gene 10419